GCCCUUUUCCGGUUGAUCCCGCCGGAGGCCAUUGCUAUUGGGAUCCGAUUUAGCCAUGCUAGUUGCACGAGUUCAGACUCGUAGCGAAUAGCUCAGUAACGCGUGGCCAAACUACCCUUCGGAGCACCAUACCCUCGGGAAACUGAGGCUAAUAGUGCAUCCCGCACUCACCCUGGAAUGGCGAGUGCGUCAAACGCUCCGGCGCCGAAGGAUGUGGCUGCGGCCGAUUAGGUAGACGGUGGGGUAACGGCCCACCGUGCCGAUAAUCGGUACGGGUCAUGAGAGUGAGAACCCGGAGACGGAAUCUGAGACAAGAUUCCGGGCCCUACGGGGCGCAGCAGGCGCGAAACCUUUACACUGCACGACAGUGCGAUAAGGGGAUCCCAAGUGCACAGGCAUAGAGCCUGUGCUUUUGUACACCCUAGGGAGGUGUCCGAAUAAGGGCUGGGCAGGACCGGUGCCAGCCGCCGCGGUAAUACCGGCAGCCCGAGUGAUGGCCGAUCUUAUUGGGCCUAAAGCGUCCGUAGCUGGCCGCGCAAGUCCAUCGGGAAAUCCACCCGCUCAACGGGUGGACGUCCGGUGGAAACUGCACGGCUUGGGACCGGAAGGCGCGACGGGUAUGUUUGGGGGUAGGAGUGAAAUCCCGUAAUCCUGGACGGACCGCCGAUGGCGAAAGCACGUCGCGAGAACGGAUCCGACAGUGAGGGACGAAAGCUAGGGUCUCGAACCGGAUUAGAUACCCGGGUAGUCCUAGCCGUAAACAAUGCCUGCUAGGCGUGGCUCCCACUAC
rnacentral:rRNA from 1 species